UUACGGUCAAAUCACGCUGAAACACCGGUUCUCGUACGAUCACCGAAGUUAAGCAUCGUAGAGCAAGGUCUUAGAUGGGGGACCGCUUGGGAACACCUGGUACUGUAAG
rnacentral:rRNA from 1 species